rnacentral:rRNA from 1 species
GUUUGGUGGGGGCGGCCUACACAUGCAGUCGGGCGGUAACAGGAAAGCGCUUGCGCUUUUGCUGACGAGCGGCGGACGGGUGAGUAAUGUCUGGGGAUCUGCCCGGGGGCGGGGGAUAACCACUGGAAACGGUGGCUAAUACCGCAUAAUGUCGCGAGACCAAAGUGGGGGACCUGAAAGGGCCUCACGCCGUCGGAUGAACCCAGAUGGGAUUAGCUGGUAGGUAGGGUAAUGGCCUACCUAGGCGACGAUCCCUAGCUGGUCUGAGAGGAUGACCAGCCACACUGGGACUGAGACACGGCCCAGACUCCUACGGGAGGCAGCAGUGGGGAAUAUUGCACAAUGGGCGCAAGCCUGAUGCAGCCAUGCCGCGUGUAUGAAGAAGGCCUUCGGGUUGUAAAGUACUUUCAGCGGGGAGGAAGGGUUGAGCCUGAACAGGGCUGGGCCUUGACGUUACCCGCAGAAGAAGCACCGGCUAACUCCGUGCCAGCAGCCGCGGUAAUACGGAGGGUGCGAGCGUUAAUCGGAAUGACUGGGCGUAAAGCGCACGCAGGCGGUCAAUUAAGUUAGAUGUGAAAUCCCCGGGCUCAACCUGGGAACGGCAUCUAAGACUGGUUGACUGGAGUCUCGUAGAGGGGGGUAGAAUUCCAUGUGUAGCGGUGAAAUGCGUAGAGAUGUGGAGGAAUACCGGUGGCGAAGGCGGCCCCCUGGACGAAGACUGACGCUCAGGUGCGAAAGCGUGGGGAGCAAACAGGAUUAGAUACCCUGGUAGUCCACGCUGUAAACGAUGUCGAUUUGGAGGUUGUGGCCCUGAGCUGUGGCUUCCGAAGCUAACGCGUUAAAUCGACCGCCUGGGGAGUACGGCCGCAAGGUUAAACUCAAAUGAUUGACGGGGCCGGCACAAGCGGUGGGAGCAUGGUGUUCAUCGAUGCAACGCGAAGUACCCGUUAACCCAUAACAUGUCGCG